UGCUGUGGUGCUGUUGGCGUAGUGUUUCCAGACUACUGUUGUAGUAAUGUUGCAGCACUGUUGUGGUAGUGUUCCGCGACUGUUGUAGUAGUGCUGUGGUACGAAUACUAUUGUGCUACUGUUGCACAAAUAGUGUAGUACCAGGCAGGGUUCCCAUAUCAGUUUGCUUCAGAUGAAAGUGAGUGGACGCCAAAAGUGAAUAGUUUACUAAAGUGAGGACAAGUCACUCAAAAGCAGUAAAAUGUGGAGGGCAGUGGUCAUUCUUGUUUGUGUAUACUGCCGAGUCCCGAGUAUGUGCACAGUAUGACGUCAUGCGUUUAUUGUCGCCAAUUACACAUCGGUGAGCGCUCCCUUCGUGCUGUGCGAUAAUAAACGGGGCUGUCUUCUUACAGAAAAUGGCCAAAUAUGUGAUUGUUUCGAAGUGAAGGAGAAAUUUUGAAACCCCCCCCCCCAAUUACGUCACAUAAGUUGGCAGGUGAAUGCCGGGCUCGGGAAGAAGCGACCGAGCGAGAGCUCUGUCUCCUGGUCGCCCCCUCAUCCCAUCUCUGCUGCUAGCUCGUCGGUUUCCCCUUAGCUUUAGCUUAGCCUAGCGACCUGCUAGCCGUCAGCAUCAUGUCGCAGGCGCUUUCAGAGGAGGAGUUUCACCGUAUGCAGGCUCAGCUACUGGAGUUGAGGACACACAACUAUCAGCUGUCCGAUGAGCUGAGGAAGAACUCCGCUGAGCUGACCAACUUGCGUCAGAAAAAUGUGGUGUUGGAAAGAGAUUUUGUCAAAGCACAGAAAGCUUUGAAUAAGAGCAAAAAAGCCCAGGAAGUUGAAGCGCUACUGAGCGAGAAUGAGAUGCUUCAGGGGAAACUUCACAGUCAGGAAGAAGACUUUCGACUGCAGAACAGCACGCUCAUGGCCGAACUUUCCAAGUUGUGUAUGCAAAUCGAGCAGCUGGAACAGGAAAACCGGCAUCUCAAGGCAGAGGGCGGGGACGCAGAUUCCCGGCCGAGCCCCAGCGCCACGUCCAGUCCUGCUGAUGAAGCGCUGCUGCGCCUCCAGGCUGAGAACGCCACGCUGCUGAAGAAAGUGCGAGCUCUUCAGGAGCAUUGUCAUGGCGAGCAGCCGAGAUCUGCGCUUUCUCACGGCGACCAAAAUGCUACCUCACAGCCAGACCGGUCAGCGAGCGCCAACGGCGUGUCUGAUAUCGAUGGCAAAGGGGAGGAGCCUGCAACAGAAGCGGGCGGUGUGAGCGGGCAGCAGAACGAAGCUCAGCUGGAACAAACACAGUUACAUGGCCUGUCAGAGAAGAGCGUAGAGGAGAUUGUAGCUAAGCACUCAGCGCUAGGCUGGUCGGCUGCACUGUGUCCAAUAACUCACUGCUUUGGAGCAGAGCUGGAGGUCGCCCUGAACACCCAGACCGAGGAGAAGAGGCUGCUGAGGGAGCAACUGCGCCACCUGGAGGUGACCAAACAGGCCGAACUCUCCAAACUGCAGGAUGAAUUGUCAAAGCUGUCGGACAAGUUAAGGAAGAAACAGGAGAGUUUCCAGCGUCUUCAGGCGGAGAAGGAGGUUCUGUACAAUGACAGCAGGACAAAGAUUGAGGAGAUCAACCAGAGGAAAGAGGAGGAGCUCAAGUUGAUGAACACGCGAAUGCAGAAGCUUCAGUCGGACUUGGCGGCGGCCAAUCAGGUGACAACAGAGUUGAGAGAGAAGUUUCAAUCCAGCGACAAAGAACACCAGCUGGCUGUGAACGCUCUCAAAGAUCAGGUAGCAAGUCAGAGCGCGGUGAGUCAGGAGCAGGUGGACAACAUCCUGCAGGAGAACGAUGCUCUGAGAACUAACUUAGCUGCUCUAGAACAGAUUCAGACGAGCAAGAUGCAGGAGUUCAAUUUGCUGCGCGAGCAGCAGGAGGUGCAGGCGGCCGAACUGCAGCAGAGUCGAGCGGAGCAAGAGAAGCUUCUGGCCCAGAGGGAUGACCUGGACUCACAGCUGCAGGAGUCAAGUUUUGCAAACCGGAAGUUGCUGGAGCAAUUAACGGAAGAAGGACAAGAAAAGGAAAAGCUGCUGAGGGAGCUGGAAGAGAGCAAGAAGACGGCAGAGAAAAGGAAGGCCAUGUUGGACACUAUGGCCAUUCAGCUAAACCAGGAGACGUCCAACCACAAGGAGGCGCUGUCGGACCUCAAACUACAGCACGAGAAGGAGGUCCUUGGCGUGAGGGCGCGCUAUGAGAAGGAACUGCGAGGUCUUCACGAGGAGAAAAAUCGCUCCGAGGAGGACAUCCGGCAACAGCUCCGAGACGAGAAGGCUCGGAGCAAAGAGCUGGAGAGUCUUCAGGCCAAAGUGCAAGAACUUCACAGUCAGCUGCAGUCCAUGGAAGAAACCAAAGGAUGGUUUGAACGACGGCUCAACGAGGCCCAGGAAAACACAGACAAGUUGACGCUGGACCAUCAGGAAGCGCUCAAAACUCUCCAGGACCAACACAUAUUUGAGCUACAGGCGAAGCAGGCCGAGGCGGAAGCGGUCCACGGGCAGGUGUUAGAAGUCCAGCAUCAGCGAGAUGAACACUACUGCGCCAUCGUCAAACUCAAGCAGGAGAUCAAAGACACAGUGGAUGGACAGCGGAUUUUGGAGAAGAAAGGAAGUGCAGCGCUGAAGGACUUAAAGAGACAGUUGCAGCUGGAAAGGAAGCGAGCAGACAAACUGCAAGAGAGACUUCAAGAAAUCCUAACCAACAGCAAGAGCAGAACAGGAUUGGAGGAGCUGGUCUUGUCUGAGAUCAACAGUCCCAGUCGCACUCAGCAGACGGGAGACUCGUCCUCGGUCUCGUCCUUCUCUUACCGAGACAUGAUGAAGGAGAGCCAGAGCGGCGGUCAGAACAAGUCGGGAGGAGGAAGUCCUCAGUGUCAGCGUGCCGCCGAGCUGUCCGACGACGAGCUGGGCGAACUGUUCCAGAGGCUCGCCGAGGUCCAGCAGGAGAAGUGGAUGCUGGAGGAGAAGGUCAAACAUUUGGAGGUGAGCUGCUCGUCCAUGGCAGAGGACAUCUGCAGGAAGAGCGCCAUCAUCGAGACUUACGUCAUGGACAGCCGCAUAGACGUUUCAGGCGGCGCGGCGGGCGGUCACGGAGCGGCUCAGGUUGACCGAGGAGGACUGGGGUCCGUCUUGAGGGACCUGGUCAAAUCCGGGGACGAGAACCUGCGCGAGAUGAACAAGAAGCUGCAGAACAUGCUGGAGGAGCAGCUGACCAAGAACAUGCACCUUCAUAAGGAUAUGGAGGUUUUGUCCCAGGAAUUAGUCCGUCUCAGUAAAGAACCAGCUCCUGAUGGUAAUUCGGCUGGCUCCGGUUGAGACUACUUCCCGAGUCAUCUGUCCAUUGCCCCAAAUAUCAUAUUCACCUCAGAUGGAAGACCAGGUCAGACGAGCACCCGCGACUGAUGUCUUGCGGGCCUCGAGCGUUAUUUUAGCCGGUGAUUCCCAACCAGUGUGUGCCGAGGCACAUUCACGAGAGCUCAUCAAUUAAUUGAUCAGAAAAUGAUUAAUUUUUCACAAAUACUCCCAUCGUUGAUCAUCUAUCUAUGCUCGUGACUAGUGACAGACAAAACAAAUAAAUAAUCUUCGAUUAAGAUGGCAGAAAGUAUCUCAUGGACAUGUGUCGCCACUUUUUGGGACGUUUUUGUUGGGUGGUGUGCCGUGAGAUUUUUUUUUUGAAACUCCAAAUAUGUGCCCUGGCUCAAUAAAGGUUGGGAAUCACUGAUUUAGGCUGUUUGGGCUAUGAUUAAAUGCUGGAAUGUCUCCAUCCAUCCAUCCAUCCAUCCAAAGCAUGCAGGGAACAGAAAUGUUUAGCCUAUCGUUGUUUCUUAAUGAAUGUACCGUCAUUGAAUCAUCCCAAAAAGUCACAUGAUUCGGUUCCACUGGACCCUGGCUACAACCCGACGACCUCCAUUGCAAAGAAUCACUUGCUUCCAUUGUACAGACCCCCUCCCACUCGCCCCCCUACAGUGAAAGAAAGAAUCCCCGUUUGAGGUGUCUUGUGUCUCCGGUCCUAUCACUUCAGGCCUUCACGCUAUGUCGGCUUGUGUCCACGCGCUGGCCGAGGAGCAGGAGCUCCGACAUUACAUUACAAUCAAUGUCUUUUGCUUUGUGGCUGCAACUCUCUGCCAGAGCAUGUGUUGCACUUUCUUUACUCCUAAUCAAAAGCUUAUAAUGAAUGUGAGUGAGAUAUGAAUAUAUAUGAAAAAGAACAGUUUUUCUGGUUAUUUUUAUCCUUUCGUUAUCAUACGUCUUUGUUUUGAAACUGUUCGACAUCACGCCUGUAAAUGGAAUUGUCUUAAUUGUUGUCAGGCUCAGUCUAUGUCCUGCUUACCGUUUCAGAUCUUAUUUAUAAAAGAAAACGAGUGUUUGCCAUCACUCUACACUACAUGGUCCUUGACUAUUUCCUGGACUGUCACCUCCCCAAUGGCUUCGGUUUUUGUUUCUGACGUGUUCCUGGAGGGGGGGUCCAGGGAUCUAUCUCCGCCCUGGGCCUCGGAAAGAAAGUCAUCUGAAAUGAAAUAGGAAAGAGAUGAUUUCUAUCACAAAGCAAAAUAAAGUGAGUGAAAAAUCA